rnacentral:tRNA from 1 species
GGGCCCGUAGCUCAGCAAGGCAGAGCGGCGGAGGUCAGACCCGUAGGGCGGGGGUUCAGGCAAAGCCGCCCAAAAAUCCCUCCGGGCCCACCA